GUGGAAUUCCUGGACCUAUCUACAACAUGAAGUCUAGUCCAGCUGACCCCAAAAGAUCCAGAUGCUCUUGGUGCCAUGUUGCCUCCCACGUGCCUUCUGUUGCCUUCUACCACAGCGGCUUGGCAUGUGUUUUUCACGCUGCAUAGAAAGUUCCCACCCCUCACUCCUUGAAAACUACUUGGCAAGUAAGAUGAGACAAGUUACUGAACAUCGCGACCGGUAAUACCAAUUUAACUCACAAUUUUUCGAAGUUUGUAAAAUUUAAAGAAGAUAUGAUCUGCUUUUAUAGAAUUUGAAAUCCAAACAGUUGAUUCUUAGGCAACAUUUAAUUACUAGUGCAAAUGUGGGAGAACAUUAGUGAAGAAAAUAAUAAAACUAAAUAGUAAUGCAGAA
rnacentral:lncRNA from 1 species